GGGAAGAAUUGGACAGGCAGACAGAGCUUACAGAAAAAUACUUUAGUAAAAUGAAGGACCUGAAAAUCAUGUUAGAAAGAGCAAGGGUGAAGGAACUGGAGUCAGCCGAUCCUGCCAGAUCUCAGACAGAUGGUGUUUGGGACAUUAAUGAGCGUGUCAACAACACAAGGACGCAGUAGUAGCCAAAACUAAAGAUCUAGAAUAUUAAUGUAAACAACAAGAAAAAGAGCUAGACAGAUUAAAAGAUAAACUACAUAAAAGAGCUCUAUGUCUCUUCAGGAGGAACGACAGAAUAAGGGAGUGGCAGAAGUGUUUCAAGAGUUCUGACGGAGAACUGCGAGGGCUCACCAUACCAUGGAUGAUAAACUGUUAGAUGUACUUGACACAUAUGAACGACAGUUACAGAAUUUGCAAAAAGAUUUGGAAAU